AAAACCCAAUUAACCUAGCUCAACUAAUGUGGAAACAGAAAACCCUAACAGUAUCCAGCAUUGCAUUAGCCACAAGUGCUGCCUUCACCCACGCGCGUCGCCAUGCACCGCCACGCGUGCCUCCGUACAGCCACCUCCGUACCUCCACGUAGGUCCCCGUACGCCAUACCUGCAAGAAGGACACACAAACAAACAGGAAAACCAAGAGAAG
rnacentral:lncRNA from 1 species